AGUGAACGCUGGCGGUAGGCCUAACACAUGCAAGUCGAACGGCAGCACAGAGGAGCUUGCCCAUUGGGUGGCGAGUGGCGGACGGGUGAGGAAUACAUCGGAAUCUACUUUGUCGUGGGGGAUAACGUAGGGAAACUUACGCUAUUCCCGCAUACGACCUACGCGUGAAAGCAGAGGAUCUUCGGACCUUGUGCGAUUGUACGAGCCGAUGUCGGAUUAGCUAGUUGGCGGGGUAAAGGCCCACCAAGGGGACGAUCCGUAGCUGGUCUGAGAGGAUGAUCAGCAACACUGGGACUGAGACACGGUCCAGACUCCUACGGGAGGCAGCAGUGGGGAAUAUUGGACAAUGGGCGCAAGCCUGAUCCAGCCAUACCGCGUGGGUGAAGAAGGCCUUCGGGUUGUAAAGCCCUUUUGUUGGGAAAGAAAUCCAUCUGGUUAAUACCCGGGUGGGAUGACGGUACCCAAAGAAUAAGCACCGGCUAACUUCGUGCCAGCCGCCGCCGUAA
rnacentral:rRNA from 1 species